UCUCCAACAGACCCCCACGAACCCACAGCAAUCCCCAUAAGUGUGGGGCAGAAGGUCCCCAGGUGACCCCCGUGAGCCCAUAUGGAACCCCACAGAUGUGGGGCAGAACAUCUCCAACAGACCCCCAUCAACCCACAGCAAACCCCACAAGUGUGGGGCAGAAGGUCCCCAGGUGACCCCUAUGAGCCCACAUGGAACCCCACAGAUGUGGGGCAGAAGAUCUCCAAUUGACCCCAGUGGGCUCACGGUGAACCCCAUAAGUGUGGGGCAGGCGGUCCCCAAGUGAUCCCCCAUAUCCUGCCCAGUACCCCCCAGUAUCCCACCCCCAUAUCUCCCAGUAUCCUCCAAUAUCUUCCAGUAUCCCCCACUAUCCCCCAAUAUCUCCCAGUAUCCCCCAGUUUCCCUCAUUAUCUCCCAGUACCCCCCAGUAUCCCCCAGUAUCCCUCAUUAUCUCCCAGUAUCUCCCAGUAUCCCCCAGUAUCCCCCAUUAUCUCCCAGUAUCCCACCCCAGUAUCUCUCAAUAUCUCCCAAUAUCUCCCAGUAUCCCACCCCAGUAUCUCCCAGUAUCCCCCAAUAUCUUCCAGUAUCCCCCAGUACCCUCAAUAUCUCCCAGUAUCCCACCCCAAUAUCCCCAGUAUCCCCCAGUAUCUCCCAAUAUCUCCCAUAUCUCCCAAUAUCUCCCAGUAUCCCACCCCAGUACCCCCCAGUACCCCGCAGUACCCCCCAUUAUCUCCCAGUACCCCCCAGUAUCCCCCAUUAUCUCCCAGUACCCCCAGUACCCCCCAGUAUCC
rnacentral:lncRNA from 1 species